GAUGAACGCUAGCUACAGGCUUAACACAUGCAAGUCGAGGGGUAACGAGAGGAAAGCUUGCUUUCCUUGUCGACGACCGGCGCACGGGUGAGUAACGCGUAUCCAACCUGCCCCCAACUAGGGAAUAACCUUGCGAAAGUAAGACUAAUACCCUAUAAUUUCCUCAGAUGUCAUCUGACGAGGAAUAAAGAUUUAUCGGUUGUGGAUGGGGAUGCGUCUGAUUAGCUUGUUGGCGGGGUAACGGCCCACCAAGGUAACGAUCAGUAGGGGUUCUGAGAGGGAGGUCCCCCACAUUGGAACUGGGACACGGUCCAAACUCCUACGGGAGGCAGCAGUGAUGAAUAUUGGUCAAUGGGCGGAAGCCUGAACCAGCCAAGUAGCGUGCAGGAUGACGGCCCUAUGGGUUGUAAACUGCUUUUAUACAGGAAUAAAGUUAGCCACGUGUGGUUAUUUGUAGGUACUGUAUGAAUAAGGACCGGCUAAUUCCGUGCCAGCAGCCGCGGUAA
rnacentral:rRNA from 1 species